CAUUGAUUAAUUUUUUGAAUGUACAGUACCACCUUAUCUCUACAUUUGGCAUUUGGUCAAUUAUUGUUAAAAGACGGUGGCGGUGGACAAUGAGCAGACGCAGUUGGGCCCUUGCGUGUUUGAGUUUUCCAUGGAGAUGAUUUUUCUGGUGUUCAAUAUGGAAAGUACACAAUGGGUGUGUGGGCUUACCUGAUGGGAAGGGAUCUGAAAAGCAAAUAAAAGAGAAAACAUUUAUUGCAUUUUAAUCUUCAAAGGUACAGUAUUACCUUUCUGCAGUGAUAUAUAUACAACAAGAAAAUUCACGAAAUUAAAGUCGCAAUCACUGUGGGUAUUGGAGAAUGAGUGGGCGCUAGGGCUGCAUGUUAUUGAAAAAAAAACACAUAAUGUGAGUGUUGAUGACCGCAAUAUCGUUGCAAUUGCGAAAUUCAACAUCACAUUUUCGUCAUUGGCGAGGUAGCGAAUGGGGAAUGCGCGUCCUGCUGAGCCUGGCGGAUCAAUUUUCGGAAUACCCCCGUCAACGAGCUUUCUAUUCACAUAAUCCGACGCUACACAGCAAACCAGUUAAUUGUACGCCAUUCGUAACCAGGAAACCUUUAACCACAAGCCCCCGUCUGUGCUUCCGCGACUCACCUCCCAACCGGUCGGUAAUGGCAUCGCAUAUGUUUUCCAGGACAACCUCGCUCACGUUCUGAAGAGAUUGGAAGUUGUCGAUCAAGAAUCGGAAGUCCUCAGACGGUUGGUUCGCGAUGG